AUACGGAGGGUGCGAGCGUUAAUCGGAAUUACUGGGCGUAAAGCGUGCGUAGGCGGUUUGCUAAGUCAGAUGUGAAAGCCCCGGGCUUAACCUGGGAACUGCAUUUGAUACUGGCAGACUAGAGUAUGAUAGAGGGGGGUAGAAUUCCUGGUGUAGCGGUGAAAUGCGUAGAUAUCAGGAGGAAUACCAGUGGCGAAGGCGGCCCCCUGGAUCAAUACUGACGCUGCGGUACGAAAGCGUGGGGAGCGAACAGGAUUAGAUACCCUAGUAGUCC
rnacentral:rRNA from 1 species